rnacentral:rRNA from 1 species
GAUGAACGCUAGCUACAGGCUUAACACAUGCAAGUCGAGGGGCAGCGCAGUGUAGCAAUACAUGGGCGGCGACCGGCGCACGGGUGCGUAACGCGUAUCCAACCUUCCCGUUACUCAGGGAUAGCCUUCCGAAAGGGAGAUUAAUACCUGAUGGUGUUGAAGUUCGCAUGUUCUUCAAACUAAAGAUUUAUCGGUAACGGAUAGGGAUGCGUGACAUUAGAUAGUAGGCGGGGUAACGGCCCACCUAGUCUACGAUGUCUAGGGGUUCUGAGAGGAAGGUCCCCCACACUGGAACUGAGACACGGUCCAGACUCCUACGGGAGGCAGCAGUGAGGAAUAUUGGUCAAUGGUCGGAAGACUGAACCAGCCAAGUAGCGUGAAGGAUGAAGGUUCUAUGGAUUGUAAACUUCUUUUAUACGGGAAUAAAGCCCACUACGUGUAGUGGUUUGUAUGUACCGUAUGAAUAAGCAUCGGCUAACUCCGUG